CUUCUUCUGUGAGGGACAUGUCUGCCUGUGUGAUGUAGAGGCAUGGCGUCCCCAUUUUCCAGAAAAAUUCCAGUGCCAGAUUUCGUCAUAGCAACCAGAG